rnacentral:tRNA from 1 species
AAAACCAUUGUAGGUUUUUUACAAUGGAGUUUGAGCCCGUGACAAAUGGGCUGUUUUAUUUUUAAUUAACAUUUUCCUUAUUUUGGCAGAUUUAAGUGCGCUAGAUUUAAGAUCUAGAAAUAUAGAAGGAUUUUCUAUAAAUAAGA